rnacentral:rRNA from 1 species
AACUGAUUAAGCAAGGAAGAGCGCAGGGUGGAUGCCUUGGCACUGAGAGCCGAUGAAAGACGUGAUAAGCUGCGAUAAGCUACGGUGAGGAGCAAAUAUCCAUUGAUCCGUAGAUUUCUGAAUGGGGAAACCUAGCUGAGCAAACCUCAGUUAUCCUAUGGUGAAUAAAAUAGUCAUAGGAAGGGAACCUCCUGAACUGAAACAUCUAAGUAGGGAGAGGAAGAGAAAGAAAAAUCGAUUUCCUAAGUAGCGGCGAGCGAAAGGGAAAGAGCCCAAACCGUGGUGCGUGCACUGCGGGGUUCGGACUGACACAACGUAAAAUAAAUCUAGGAGAAUUGUCUGGGAAGUCAAUCCAAAGAGGGUGAAAGGCCCGUAUCCGAAAGAAGAGUUUUAUAGUCAGUAUCCAGAGUACAUCGAGACACGAGAAACCUUGAUGGAAUAUGCGGAGACCACUCCGUAAGGCUAAAUACUACUCAGUGACCGAUAGCGCAUAGUACUGUGAAGGAAAGGUGAAAAGGACCCCGGGAGGGGAGUGAAAGAGAACCUGAAACCCUGUGUUUACAAGCUGUGGAAGGACGAUUCCUUCGGGAUAGUUCAACCGCGUACUUUUUGUAGAACGGUCCGGCGAGUUGCCAGUAGAGGCGAGGUUAAAUGUUUAAGACAUGGAGCCGAAGUGAAAGCAAGCGUGAUAAGCGCGAACUAGUCCCUAUUGGCAGACCCGAAACCGGGUGAUCUACCCAUGGUCAGGAUGAAGUUGCCGUAAAAGGCAAUGGAGGUCCGAACGCACAUCCGUUGAAAAGGGUGGCGAUGAACUGUGGGUAGGGGAGAAAUUCCAAUCGAACCCGGAGAUAGCUGGUUCUCCUCGAAAUAGCUUUAGGGCUAGCCUCAUGGUUAAGUCUAAUGGAGGUAGAGCACUGAAUAUUUGCGGGGGCGUCAAAGCCUACCAAUGAUUAUCAAACUCCGAAUGCCAUAUAGAUAUACAUGGGAGUCAGACUGCACGAGAUAAGUUGGGUAGUCAAAAGGGAAAGAGCCCAGAUCUACAGCUAAGGUCCCAAAGUACGUGUUAAGUGGAAAAGGAUGUGGGAUUUCGAAGACAACUAGGAUGUUGGCUCAGAAGCAGCCACACAUUCAAAGAGUGCGUAAUAGCUCACUAGUCGAGAGGUCCUGCGCCGAAAAUGUCCGGGGCUAAAACACGACACCGAAGCUUAGGGAUUGCAUUUAUGUAAUCGGUAGAGGAGCAUAGCCGUAGGGACGAAGCGGUACCGAAAGGAGCCGUGGACUUACGGGUAGAGAGAAUGCCGGAAUGAGUAGCGAGAUUUAAGUAAGAAUCUUAAAGGCCGAAUAUCUAAGGUUUCCAGGGUAAAGCUGAUCUUCCCUGGGUAAGUCGGGGCCUAAGGCGAGGCAGAAAUGCGUAGUCGAUGGAUAACAGGUUGAAAUUCCUGUACUGCUGUAUAACAGAACUGUGGGGACACAGACAGAGAGUGUAACCCGGGAAUGGAAAGACCGGGACAAGCGAGGUAGGAGUUCAGUAGGCAAAUCCGCUGAACAAUCUGAAGGCGUGACGUGGAGCGAACAUUAGUAGCGAAGUACAUGAGCUGGCUGUCGAGAAAAGCCGCUAUUGUUUAUACAGUACCCGUACCGUAAACCGACACAGGUGGAUGAGGAGAGGAUCCUAAGGCCGGCGGGAGAAGUGUUGUUAAGGAACUCGGCAAAAUGACCCCGUAACUUCGGGAGAAGGGGUGCCAUCCUCCGGGAUG